AGAGUUUGAUCAUGGCUCAGAUUGAACGCUGGCGGCGUGCUUAACACAUGCAAGUCGAACGCGAAAGGGACUUCGGUCCUGAGUAAAGUGGCGCACGGGUGAGUAACGCGUGGAUAAUCUGCCCUUAUGAUCGGGAUAACAGUUGGAAACGGCUGCUAAUACCGGAUACGCUCAAAAUGAACUUUUUGAGGAAAGAUGGCCUCUGCUUGCAUGCUAUCGCGUAAGGAUGAGUCCGCGUCCCAUUAGCUUGUUGGCGGGGUAACGGCCCACCAAGGCAACGAUGGGUAGCCGAUUUGAGAGGAUGAUCGGCCACACUGGAACUGAAACACGGUCCAGACUCCUACGGGAGGCAGCAGUGGGGAAUAUUGCGCAAUGGGCGAAAGCCUGACGCAGCGACGCCGCGUGAGGGAUGAAGGUUUUCGGAUCGUAAACCUCUGUCAGAAGGGAAGAAACUACAUUGUGCUAAUCAGCAGUGUACUGACGGUACCUUCAAAGGAAGCACCGGCUAACUCCGUGCCAGCAGCCGCGGUAAUACGGAGGGUGCAAGCGUUAAUCGGAAUUACUGGGCGUAAAGCGCACGUAGGCUGUAGUGUAAGUCAGGGGUGAAAUCCCACGGCUCAACCGUGGAACUGCCUUUGAUACUGCACAACUUGAAUCCGGGAGAGGGUGGCGGAAUUCCAGGUGUAGGAGUGAAAUCCGUAGAUAUCUGGAGGAACAUCAGUGGCGAAGGCGGCUUUCUGGACUGAAACUGACGCUGAGGCACGAAAGCGUGGGGAGCGAACAGGAUUAGAUACCCUGGUAGUCCACGCCGUAAACGAUGAGUGCUAGGUGUCGGAGGGGAACCUUCGGUGCCGCAGCAAACGCAAUAAGCACUCCACCUGGGGAGUACGAUCGCAAGAUUGAAACUCAAAGGAAUUGACGGGGGCCCGCACAAGCGGUGGAGCAUGUGGUUUAAUUCGAAGCAACGCGAAGAACCUUACCAAGGCUUGACAUCCCGAUGCCGCACAUAGAGAUAUGUGUUUUCUACGGAACAUCGGAGACAGGUGGUGCAUGGUUGUCGUCAGCUCGUGUCGUGAGAUGUUGGGUUAAGUCCCGCAACGAGCGCAACCCUUAUCUUUAGUAGCCAGCAGUAAGAUGGGCACUCUAGAGAGACUGCCGUGGAUAACACGGAGGAAGGUGGGGAUGACGUCAAAUCAUCAUGCCCCUUAUGUCUUGGGCAACACACGUGCUACAAUGGGCGGAACAAAGUGAAGCAAAGCCGCGAGGUGGAGCGAAGCACAAAAAUCCGUUCUCAGUUCGGAUUGUAGUCUGCAACUCGACUACAUGAAGCUGGAAUCGCUAGUAAUCGCGAAUCAGCAUGUCGCGGUGAAUACGUUCCCGGGCCUUGUACACACCGCCCGUCACACCAUGGGAGUUGGAAGCACCCGAAGCCUGUGACCUAACCGCAAGGGAGGAGCAGUCGAAGGUGAAGCCAGUGACUGGGGUGAAGUCGUAACAAGGUAACCGUAGCGGC
rnacentral:rRNA from 1 species